rnacentral:tRNA from 1 species
GGAGAGAUGGCCGAGCGGUUUAAGGCGCAGUCCUGGAAAGACUGUUUAUCCGAAAGGGUAACUAGGGUUCGAAUCCCUAUCUCUCCGCCA